ensembl:lncRNA
AUGUCUCCUAAGCGAUUGAGGUGUUCUGUUGUUGGAUGUAAUAAUGAACAUAGCAGUCGUCAUUUACUACCGACAUCUGAGCUGCUGAAGACGCAGUGGAUUACGCUUGUUUCUGAAGGAAAUGCGCCUCCGAUCUUCCUAAAUGCAUCUAUUUUCACACGAAUCAUUCGUGAUCCAGCUUCAUCUACAGAAAAAGGCUAAUAGGAGACAGGAGACUCCUGAUACACAAUGACAUGUUCAAAGUUCUUCUAGACAAUUGACCGUAAGUACAAACAAAUAUAAAAUCAUUUUCUGGUAAUCAACUGGAAACAAUUAUGUUUAGUCAGAAACCUGGAACACUGAUAUAAAUGCUAUAAAUAUCAUGCUUUUGUAGAUUUUGAACAUGUUCAUUAUUAAUGAAUGGAUUCCAAUCAGUCUUCAAACAUUUCUUCAUGUUUUUCUCCUUUAGCUUUGGUUAAAUAGAUUUAGUCAGAGAAAUGGAUAACAUAUGGUAUUACAUUAUAUUUUGAACAGCCACACUGUGCUGGGAAAGGAUUAAAAAGGCAAGGCAAUAUGAUGCAUUCGUUUUCUCUCAAAAACAAUUAUCCUCAGUAACUAAACAGUAAUUUGUUUAACCUGCUUGAAUUUCUUCAUUCUUGUGAAAUCUGAAGAUUGAUUUUUCAGCAAAUAUUUAUUGUAUUCUUACAUAGGGUUUCAUAUUUCUAAUAUGAAUUGUACCAUGUGUAUUUAGUCAAAGUAGUUCACAUUUCUUAGGAUUUGUGACUAAUAAGACCUGUUGAGAAAAUUGUUUUAAAAAGUACUGAAGUAUAUAUGUGUGUGUGUGUGUGUGUGUGUGUGUGUGUGUGUGUGUAAUUAUGUAUCGUUUGAUCUUGGUUAAAUUCUUACAUCCUAUAUUCAUUUAUUAUUUGGAUUCAUUAACAAAAACCACUACAUUUUAUGUAGUUUUUUGAAAACCUUGUUAUGCUAUGAUGUGAAAUUCAAGAUGAUUUAUUUAAUUAAGUUGUAAUACAUUUGUUUAUCUUGGAGUUGCUUUAUGCUCUAUGUUGUAAUAUAAACACAAUAAAAAAAAAAAAUUCGUAACA